rnacentral:rRNA from 1 species
CUUAACACAUGCAAGUCGCACGAGAAAGGGCUUCGGCCCCGGUAAAGUGGCGCACGGGUGAGUAACACGUGGAUAACCUUCCCUCAGGCGGGGGAUAACACUCCCAUAGGAGUGCUAACAGACGCCAAAAGACCACGUCCUCCAUAGAGGAUGAGGUCAAAGCCGGCCUCUACAGACAAGCUGGCACCUGAGGAUGGGUCCACGGCCCAUCAGGCAGUUGGCGGGGUAAUGGCAAACAACCUAAGACGGGUAGCUGGUCUGAGAGGAUGAUCAGCCACGCUGGAACUGAGACACGGUCCAGACUCCUACGGGAGGCAGCAGUGGGGAAUCUUGCGCAAUGGACCAUAGUCUGACGCAGCGACGCCGCGUGGGUGAUGAAGGCCUUCGGGUUGUAAAGCCCUGUGGGGCGGGACACGGGUAGUAGAAGCUAACACCUUCUAUGAUGACGGUACCGCCUUAGCAAGCACCGGCUAACUCUGUGCCAGCAGCCGCGGUAAGACAGAGGGUGCAAACGUUGUUCGGAAUUACUGGGCGUAAAGCGUGUGUAGGCGGCCGUAAAAGUCGGAUGUGAAAGCCCCAGGCUCAACCUGGGAAGUGCACCCGACAGAUGUACGGCUAGAGUAUCGGAGAGGUUGGUGGAAUUCUCGGUGUAGAGGUGAAAUUCGUAGAUAUCGAGAGGAACACCGGCGGCCAUAGCGGCCAACUGGACACGGGACUGACGCUGAGACACCAUAGCGUGGGGAGCUAACAGGAUUAGAU